GUCCACGCCGUAAACGAUGGGUGCUAGGUGUGGGAGGUGUCGACUCCUUCCGUGCCGAAGCUAACGCAUUAAGCACCCCGCCUGGGGAGUACGGCCGCAAGGCUAAAACUCAAAGGAAUUGACGGGGGCCCGCACAAGCAGCGGAGCAUGUGGUUUAAUUCGACGCAACGCGAAGAACCUUACCUGGGCUUGACAUGCACGGGAAUGUCGUAGAAAUACGGCAGCCCUUCGGGGCUCGUGCACAGGUGUUGCAUGGCUGUCGU
rnacentral:rRNA from 1 species